UGUCUCAUGGCUAAUAUAUGAGAUAAUACCUGCCCAGUGACAGUAGUUCAACGGCCGCGGUAUCCUAACCGUGCAAAGGUAGCAUAAUAACUUGCCUAUCAAUUGUAGGCUAGAAUGAAGGGGUUAACGAAAUAAAGACUGUCUCAAUUAGUAAACUAAAAAUUAUUCUCCACACGAAGAAAGGUGGAUAAUCUCGAAGGACAAGAAGACCCUAUAGAGCUUUAUUUAUAAUGUGGAAUCACACCACACAAGAAUUCGGUUGGGGCGACCUGGGGCUAAAUAAUCACCCCGAAAAGAAAAGAUAUAUUAAUCAAACUCAUGACCCUAAAUAGAUCAUAAAAUCAAGCUACCUUAGGGAUAACAGGCUAAUCCCACUAAAGAGUUCUUAUCAAUAGUGGGGGUUGGCACCUCGAUGUUGGCUUAGGGUAUCUAUAUAGCGCAAAAGUUAUAUAAAGAUGGUUUGUUCAACCAAUAAUUCCCU
rnacentral:rRNA from 1 species